CUUUACUUUUAUUAUAGACAUAGGGUAACACUAUAUAAUAUUUAUAAUACAUUUUUUCAAUUGUUUUAAUAUUCAUUUAUUCAAUAUUAAUAACAGCAACACAGAUUAGCCUAUCAUGAUUUGUAAUUUAUUAUCAUAAUUUAUACCAUACAAGAAAUAUUUACAACAGUCUGUUAACACUUUAGUACAAUAAAAAUCAAUGAUAUGUCUCUAAUUGGAGUUUGAAAAUACACCAAAUUCAAACUUUUCUGCUUAACAUUUUAAGAUCGAGAUUAAUUGUUUUCAAAAUAUGUUUUGAAAGCAUCAAAAUUCAUUUUUAAGGGAACAUUUUAUUAUACAUAUUGUGUAUGUAUCAAAUGUCUUAACAUUAGCAUUAGUGAUGUCCCCAAAGGUUCGCCGAACGGUUCGCCACGGACUCAUCAUUGAGUAAACUUUGACCCUGUACCCAGGAGGUGGGAGGGUCUGGGAGGGAGGGUCUGCUGCUGAUUGGCUGGAAUGCGUCUGCUGACUGUGAGGUACAGGGUCAAAGUUUACCCAAUGAUGAGUCCGCGGCGAACCGUUCGGCGAACCGUUCGGGACAUAACUAAUUAGCAUAAAUUUAAGUUUUAGUUUUUUUU